UACGAAGGGGGCUAGCGUUGUUCGGAAUCACUGGGCGUAAAGGGCGCGUAGGCGGCCGAUCAAGUCGGGGGUGAAAGCCUGUGGCUCAACCACAGAAUUGCCUUCGAUACUGUUUGGCUUGAGACCGGAAGAGGUUAGUGGAACUGCGAGUGUAGAGGUGAAAUUCGUAGAUAUUAGGAAGAACACCAGUGGCGAAGGCGGCUCACUGGUCCGGUACUGACGCUGAGGUGCGAAAGCGUGGGGGAGCAAACAGG
rnacentral:rRNA from 1 species